rnacentral:rRNA from 1 species
GGCCUACCAUGGUGGUAACGGGUAACGGGGUGUUAGGGCACGACACCGGAGAGGGAGCCUGAGAAACGGCUACCACAUCCAAGGAUGGCAGCAGGCGCGCAAAUUACCCAAUCCCGACACGGGGAGGUAGUGACAAUAAAUAACAAUACGGGGUUCUUUAGGAUCUCGUAAUUGGAAUGAGUACAAUUUAAAUCUCUUAACGAGGAACAAUUGGAGGGCAAGUCUGGUGCCAGCAGCCGCGGUAAUUCCAGCUCCAAUAGCGUAUAUUAAAGUUGUUGCAGUUAAAAAGCUCGUAGUUGAAUUUCGGGGUUAGUAGGUUGGUCAUGCCUCUGGUAUGUACUGAUCUCACUGAUUCCUCCUUCCUUAUGAACCGUAAUGCCAUUAAUUUGGUGUUGCGGGGAAUUUGGACUGUUACUUUGAAAAAAUUAGAGUGUUUAAAGCAGGCUAACGCUUGAAUACAUUAGCAUGGAAUAAUGAAAUAGGACGUUCGAUCUUAUUUUGUUGGUUUCUAGGAUUGACGUAAUGAUUAAUAGGGAUAGUUGGGGGCAUUAGUAUUCAAUUGUCAGAGGUGAAAUUCUUGGAUUUAUUGAAGACUAACUACUGCGAAAGCAUUUGCCAAGGAUGUUUUCAUUAAUCAAGAACGAAAGUUAGGGGAUCGAAGACGAUCAGAUACCGUCGUAGUCUUAACCAUAAACUAUGCCGACUAGGGAUCGGAUGAUGUUAAUUUUUUAAUGACUCAUUCGGCGCCUUACGGGAAACCAAAGUGUUUGGGUUC